AUGCUUACUUCAGAAGCACAUAUACUAAAACUGGAACAAUACAGAGAAGUGUAGCAUGGCCCUUGGGCAAGGAUGACAUUCAAAUUUGUGAAGUGUUCCAUAUUUUU